GCCCGGGUGGCUCAGUCGGUUAAGCGUCUGACUUCGGCUCAGGGCGUGAUCUUGUGGCGCGUGAGUUCGAACCCCGCCUCGGGCU